UCCCAGUUCGGAUUGUAGUCUGCAACCCGACUACAUGAAGCUGGAAUCGCUAGUAAUCGCGAAUCAGAAUGUCGCGGUGAAUACGUUCCCGGGUCUUGUACACACCGCCCGUCACACCAUGGGAGUCGGAAAUGCCCGAAGUCAGUGACCCAACCGUAAGGAGGGAGCUGCCGAAGGUGGAGCCGGUAACUGGGGUGAAGUCGUAACAAGGUACC
rnacentral:rRNA from 1 species